rnacentral:misc_RNA from 1 species
UUAACUUAUUUAGCUAAUUGCUCAGACUGCAAUCUUCAGACAGCGUUCAAUGGUGUCUUCGGCGGGCGCGGGCCCGGGGGCGUGAGCCCCCCGGCGGCCAGUUAAGGCGGGCCCGCCGAAGCAACAAGGUAAAUAAACACGGGUGGGAGGUUGGACCCAGAGGGCCCUCACUCGGUAAUGAUCCUUCCGCAGGUUCACCUACGGAAA